GUAGGGAAUAUUGGGCAAUGGUCGGAAGACUGACCCAGCCAUGCCGCGUGCAGGAAGACGGCCCUCUGGGUUGUAAACUGCUUUUAUCUGGGAAGAAAAAGGCCAUGCGUGGCAAAUUGCCGGUACCAGAUGAAUAAGCACCGGCUAACUCCGUGCCAGCAGCCGCGGUAAUACGGAGGGUGCGAGCGUUGUCCGGAUUUAUUGGGUUUAAAGGGUGCGUAGGCGGCUGAUUAAGUCAGCGGUGAAAGACUUCGGCUUAACCGGAGCAGUGCAGUUGAUACUGGUUGGCUUGAGUGUCGGAGGGGUACAUGGAAUUGAUGGUGUAGCGGUGAAAUGCAUAGAUACCAUCAGGAACACCGAUAGCGAAGGCAUUGUACUGGCCGACAACUGACGCUGAUGCACGAAAGUGUGGGGAUCGAACAGGAUUAGAAACCCUUGUAGUCC
rnacentral:rRNA from 1 species